rnacentral:lncRNA from 1 species
UUCUCAUGGCCAAUGUCAAGUAGCAAUCGCAGAGACUCUGCUCUACAAUGCGAUAGGAUAUGAGAUCGCUCCUCUUCGGAUUAAAAGCAGGAUUCUUCCUUUCCCCAAAAGGAGAAAAAAAAGACUCAAAUGCUAACAUCAACAAAGAAGGCUUGUUCUAUGAUGAUACUUACACACUUUGGGUUAUGCGAAUAUUAAAUUAACUCGCCCCAAUUAUGCAGUGCACCAUCAGAAUAACAGAUACUAACCUUGUUCAAAUUUGUGCGACAAAAUCUAAAAUAUAACAUAAUAUUUGUAUGGCUUAAGGGUAAAAUCACUAAAGCUUCUAAACUAUUUCAAAACAAUAUGAAAAAUAUCAAAAAUGAAGAAUUAAAAGCGUAAAGUGAAUGUGAGAUGAAAUUAGUAGACAAGAACCAUUAGGAACCCAUCUGUGGAUUCAUCUCAGCAGUUGUCUGGCCGCCGAUGAUAAAUUCAGCUUUCCCUUUAUGCACUGUCGCUUAAGAACCGCACUAUUGCAUAAUUUAGCGAAGCCCUAUAUUAAUGCGAGUGCAAUUACAUUCGACGCUGAAAACUAAAAUUCUACAAUGACGGCAAACAUUGAAAGGAAUAUUGAAAAAGUAAAUUGCCGCACUAUAGCUUACAAUAAAGGGCGGCCAUUGAGUUGGGAGAGCAGAACCGGCUCCGAAGCAAAACCCUAGAUGAAGUUUAGAGGACAAUGAAAAGGAGGUUUUAUAGAUGGGUUUCGGUGGAUAUGACUAGCGGCUGCCACAAAGUGGGCUUGAAAUUCAUGUCAUCGUCAAAAUUAAAUGACUGAAAAAACACCUUAAAGAGAGGAAAAAAAUCAUUACUAAAUGAUUAUGGCCUCAGAAUUGCAGAAAUGACAGCAAGUCCUCGAGGGCCAUUCAGUCCCGAAAGAUGGUGUUCUUUAUAAUUCAUAUCCUCACAGGCCAAAUAUAUUCUAUAAUUAUUAAUAACAAGAAAUAAAAUGUAUUUCUCAUGGCCAAUCCCAAGUAGCAAUCGCAGAGACUCUGCUCAACAAGGCGAUAGGAUAUGAGAUCGCUCCUCUUCGGAUUAAAAGCAGGAUUCUUCCUUUCCCCAAAAGGAGAAAAAAAAGACUCAAAUGCUAACAUCAACAAAGAAGGCUUGUUCUAUGAUGAUACUUACACACUUUGGGUUAUGCGAAUAUUAAAUUAACUCGCCCCAAUUAUACAGUGC